GAUGAACGCUAGCGGCAGGCUUAACACAUGCAAGUCGAGGGGUAUAGUUCUUCGGAACUAGAGACCGGCGCACGGGUGCGUAACGCGUAUGCAAUCUACCUUUUGCAGAGGGAUAGCCCCAGAGAAAUUUGGAUUAAUACCUCAUAGUAUAGCAGUUUCGCAUGAAACCACUAUUAAAGUCACAACGGCAAAAGAUGAGCAUGCGUCCCAUUAGCUAGUUGGUAAGGUAACGGCUUACCAAGGCUACGAUGGGUAGGGGUCCUGAGAGGGAGAUCCCCCCANACUGGUACUGAGACACGGACCAGACUCCUACGGGAGGCAGCAGUGAGGAAUAUUGGGAACAAGUCGGGACGCAAAGCCUGAUCCAGCCAUG
rnacentral:rRNA from 1 species